rnacentral:lncRNA from 1 species
AGACUCUGCCUAUGUGUCCACAUGGCUCCAGGUCCUCAAGUAUCUCAUCUUUUCUUCCAGCCACUCACCCUUCACAGCUGCUUUGUCCAAGGCACACAAAGAGGAGGAGCUUCAAGCCCUGGCCACAUCCUGCUCUAGCCAUGGUGUCCCUGCUCACACAAGCCAGCCAAUGUCUCUACAUCAGGAAGCAGCAUGAAGAUGACAAGAAGUGACAUUCUGGCCAUGUGACCAUGGCCAGAAAGCACCUGCCAGGAAUCAGCCUUGACUCCACAGAGCACUGAAACUAGGGGCACUUUGUUACAUGGAAAGAGCCCGAUCCAGCACAACUCUUGAGCAUCCAGCUCCCUCCAGGGGGAAGGAAGAGGAAGACCAUGGCAGUGAUGAGAAAGUGAUACCUGCUAUCUCCUUUCUCACUCAUUCAACAGUGCAUGCCCUAUGACCAUGUCUUGCUGCAAGGGAUGCUGCAUGUGUCUUUAUUCUGGGAUACGUGUCCAGCUGAAUCCAGGAGGCUGUAAGCUACUGCAGAAGGAUGGAUACUGGGGACAGCAGCACUGCUCCAGAGCUCCAGGGGUAUGGUGUGUCUGCAGCAUUGAGAGCCUCCCAUCUGUAACUGUAACCAGUUCCAGGCAGAGCAGCAACCUGAUAUCAGUGACUCCUCAUUUGAUCAAGUUAUGAAGCCAAGCAUCUAGCAGUCUACUGAACAGCCCUUCGGGCAAUAACACAGGUGUUUCUGAGCUUUCUCUCCAUCCAAGAUCCUUGGGGACUCCCCAGAUCACACUACCUUCUGUAAGUGGAAUGAGUCCAAUGUCUCAAGUGUAAUCCAGGAAGAGGUGAGGUGUCAUGUGUGCUAUGUGGUGAACAAAUGUGGUUAGGAGUGGACACAUGAAGUGUCUAAGUGCAGAUGUCUAUUCAGUUCAAUUCUGAUCUCAUUGUGGUGGACAUUUGUCACAGGCAUUUACAAUGGUCUGUUGCCUUUCCAGGACAGACAAUUUUGCUCCUCCCCCCAUCCCCCUGAGUCCCUCAGCUGAUCAGGCAGAGUCACCAGCAUUAAGAUUCAUUUCUUUAUGUCCUCAGCACUGAGUCUCUACCCAUGACCCAGCUGAGACAUUCCCAGAGAUACUUGGGGACAUCUCCCUGUGUUCACUAGAUCCAGCAUGGAGUCUAGGAUCACUAGCCAGCAGUCUCAGAACCUCUCUGUCUCAUUGUAAGAAUUAACCAGCCCAGGGGUUCAGACCUCAGACAUCACCUGGUUAGCCCCAGACAUCACCUGGUUAGCCCCAUCAUUUCCCUGGUAGGCUUCUGAAUAUCUGGUCAGGUGGAUAGGGAGUGGGCAGUCCCAGGGUCCUGAGUGAGCAGGACCAGUCAAGUGCUAAAGCUGCAGAACUGGAAUUCCAGCUGGCUAGAGAUGCACCCCUGGGGGCUGGAAAAUGAAACACAAGGGGAUAUGGGCUUAGAGUAAGAGUUGAGAGAAGCACCAGGGAGACUGCAACAUAGUCAAACUCAGGAGUAUCAGUUGUUCCCAAGUUGUGUUUCUCCCCUCAGGGUGUGUGGAACUGGUCUACCAACACAGAGCUGGUACAUUCUGCAGAAGUUUCCCAGGCCUCAAAGGCCUGCUG